CUACGGGAGGCUCCAGUGAGGAAUAUUGCACAAUGGGGGGAACCCUGAUGCAGCAACGCCGCGUGGAGGAUGACGCAUUUCGGUGUGUAAACUCCUUUUAUAUGUCAAGAAAAUGACGGUAGCAUAUGAAUAAGCACCGGCUAACUCCGUGCCAGCAGCCGCGGUAGUACGGAGGGUGCAAGCGUUACUCGGAAUCACUGGGCGUAAGAGGACGCGUAGGCGGGUUGGAAAGUCAGGUGUGAAAUCCUACAGCUUAACUGUAGAACUGCACUUGAAACUUCUAAUCUAGAGUAUGGGAGGGGGAGAUGGAAUUAGUGGUGUAGGGGUAAAAUCCGUAGAUAUCACUAGGAAUACCUAAAGCGAAGGCGAUCUCCUGGAACAUUACUGACGCUAAGGCGUGAAAGCGUGGGGAGCAAACAGGAUUAGAUACCCCUGUAGUC
rnacentral:rRNA from 1 species